UCGGGGCUCCACUGCAUUUCCGCCUGGCCCUUCGGCGGACUCCGGACUCCACUCCAUGUCCACCGCCACUGGAGACGAGGCGCCUACACUAGUGUACUGACAGUACUGACAGGGAGGACCUAGCUUCAAAUCGCUGAUGAUCUACAUGUGACGUGUCUGCUAGUUUCGUUUAUUGUACCUGUUUCAUCUCCCAUGCAUUCC
rnacentral:lncRNA from 1 species